rnacentral:rRNA from 1 species
GACGAACGCUGGCGGCGUGCUUAACACAUGCAAGUCGAACGGAAAGGCCCUGCUUUUGUGGGGUGCUCGAGUGGCGAACGGGUGAGUAACACGUGAGUAACCUGCCCUUGACUUUGGGAUAACUUCAGGAAACUGGGGCUAAUACCGGAUAGGAGCUCCUGCUGCAUGGUGGGGGUUGGAAAGUUUCGGCGGUUGGGGAUGGACUCGCGGCUUAUCAGCUUGUUGGUGGGGUAGUGGCUUACCAAGGCUUUGACGGGUAGCCGGCCUGAGAGGGUGACCGGCCACAUUAGGACUGAGAUACGCCCCAGACUCCUACGGGAGGCAGCAGUGGGGAAUAUUGCACAAUGGGCGGAAGCCUGAUGCAGCAACGCCGCGUGCGGGAGGACGGCCUUCGGGUUGUAAACCGCUUUCGCCUGUGACGAAGCGUGAGUGACGGUAAUGGGUAAAGAAGCACCGGCUAACUACGUG